rnacentral:lncRNA from 1 species
AACAAAGAAACAGAAAGUCGUGGGAGCCACUCUUGCCAGCAGCUGCUGUGAUAAGACGCUGGGCACUGGGGGAGGGAUCCCCGGGUGGGGGCAGCCUACGUGGCUGGUCUCACCUGCCCAGCAGACAGACAUUGACUGCAUUAUCGGUUGGGUGAUUGAACGGUCUCUCUUUUCUGGAGGGGCGCCUCUUCUCCCUGACUCCUCCCCAUCUCUACCUGGCCCGCCUUCUGACCUCCAGGUAGGCCCCUCUUCAAGUCUGGGACACCCUGGGUCCCUGAGGGGAGGAACAGGGACCUUCUCCUGGGCCUCAUGCACCCAGGACACGAGGGGGGAGCUGCUGCCCUGGACGCAGGCAAAAUGGCACAGUCUGCUUUCCCAGCCCACCGUCUUCUCCGGGUCCUGGAGCCCCAAGGCAGUGCCCAUUUCUCAGAAAGCUCCCGAGGCACCCUGCACUGAAAAGUCCUCCUGGCCCCUCCAGCCGCCCCCCCACUCUCCCCUGCGCCGCCCUCCUCUGUGCCUUGUACCUGAAUACUGACUCCUCAGCUGCACCAACUAGGCUCCCUGGGCCUCCAACCUCCAGCAGGGUCAGCUGACGGAGGCCAGACGUGGGAGGAGAGAGACGGUGCAGUCUGCAUUUGUUCCCACUUCCUGCGGGCCGCGAUUUUGGCACCCCUCUAGGAGGGCAGAGCCCUGGUCAGGUGCCAACCGCAGCCAGAGCCUCUCCAGGUACAGGGACAGGCUCUCCUCCGCAGCCCUGCAUGGAAUUCCACUCUGCCUCACCCAUGUCCCUUAACCCUGCCUGGGUGUGUAGUCGUCUCUCUGCGGCCAGAUCUCUCUACUCACACGCACUUCGCCCCUGCUCUCCUCGCCAAGCAGGAGAAGACAGCGAGAAAAGACACCUCAGACCGCAGCCCCAGAAUGAGGCCCCAUGUGGGUGAUGCAUGAAGGUGAACCUGGGUUUGACCCUUAGUUCUGCCACGAGGUAGGUCAUUUUUCUUGUGCUUUACUUUUUUUGUCUGUAAAAUGGGGACACUACUCACUCCCAGGGUUGUUAUGAGGAUUAAUGACGUAUGCAC